GACGUAGGGCGCGAGCGUUGUCCGGAUUUAUUGGGCGUAAAGAGCUCGUAGGCGGCUUGUCGCGUCGUCCGUGAAAACCUGCAGCUCAACUGCAGGCUUGCGGUCGAUACGGGCAGGCUGGAGUUCGGUAGGGGAGACUGGAAUUCCUGGUGUAGCGGUGAAAUGCUCAGAUAUCAGGAGGAACACCGGUGGCGAAGGCGGGUCUCUGGGCCGAUACUGACGCUGAGGAGCGAAAGCGUGGGGAGCGAACAGG
rnacentral:rRNA from 1 species